rnacentral:rRNA from 1 species
UGGGGAAUUUUGGACAAUGGGCGCAAGCCUGAUCCAGCCAUGCCGCAUGCAGGAUGAAGGCCUUCGGGUUGUAAACUGCUUUUGUACGGAACGAAAAGUCUCUUUCUAAUAAAGAGAGAUCAUGACGGUACCGUAAGAAUAAGCACCGGCUAACUACGUGCCAGCAGCCGCGGUAAUACGUAGGGUGCAAGCGUUAAUCGGAAUUACUGGGCGUAAAGCGUGCGCAGGCGGUUAUAUAAGACAGAUGUGAAAUCCCCGGGCUCAACCUGGGAACUGCAUUUGUGACUGCAUAGCUGGAGUGCGGCAGAGGGGGAUGGAAUUCCGCGUGUAGCAGUGAAAUGCGUAGAUAUGCGGAGGAACACCGAUGGCGAAGGCAAUCCCCUGGGCCUGCACUGACGCUCAUGCACGAAAGCGUGGGGAGCAAAAA